rnacentral:rRNA from 1 species
AUGGACGUGUUGCGACAAUAUUUCCUCCCGGUGGACGUGGACUCCAUCACCAACAUCCGCACGUCACCGCGCAUUACCGACGACAUCAUUGCAUGGGCUCCGAAGAAGAACGGUAUCUUCACUGUUCGCUCCGCCUACCGCCUUGCCAUGGACGAGCGCGAUCGUCCAUUGGCAACCGCCACGAGCAGGGCACCGGAUGGUCGUCGCGCCAUCUGGAAGACCAUAUGGGGGUGCCCUGCUCCCCCAAAGAUACGCGUUUUUGCAUGGAGACUGGUGUCUAACUCACUCGCAACUUGGGCAAAUAAAUGCCAUUAUCAUCUCGAG